GAUCAUGGCUCAGGAUGAACGCUGGCGGCGUGCCUAACACAUGCAAGUCGAACGGAGCUGCUUUGGUGAAGUUUUCGGAUGGAUUUAAAACAGCUUAGUGGCGGACGGGUGAGUAACGCGUGGGUAACCUGCCUCGCACUGGGGGAUAACAGUUAGAAAUAGCUGCUAAUACCGCAUAAGCGCACGGUUCCGCAUGGAACAGUAGUGAAAAACUCCGGUGGUGUGAGAUGGACCCGCGU
rnacentral:rRNA from 1 species